UACAGAGGUCCCGAGCGUUGUUCGGAUUCAUUGGGCGUAAAGGGUGCGUAGGCGGCGGGGUAAGUUUGAUGUGAAAUCCCGGGGCUCAACCCUGGAAUGGCAUUGAAUACUGCCUUGCUAGAGUACCGGAGAGGAAACUGGAAUUUACGGUGUAGCAGUGAAAUGCGUAGAUAUCCGGAGGAACACCGGUGGCGAAGGCGGCUUCCUGGACCGACACUGACGCUGAGGCGCGAAAGCUAGGGGAGCAAACGGG
rnacentral:rRNA from 1 species